GAUGAACGCUGGCGGCGUGCCUAACACAUGCAAGUCGAGCGAACGGACCAGAAGCUUGCUCCCCUGAUGUUAGCGGCGGACGGGUGAGUAACACGUGGAUAACCUACCUAUAAGACUGGGAUACCAUCGGGAAACCGGAGCUACUACCGGAUAAUAUUUUGAACCGCAUGGUUCAAAAGUGAAAGACGGUCUUGCUGUCACUUAUAGAUGGAUCCGCGUUGCAUUAGUUAGUUGGUAAGGUAACGGCUUACCAAGGCAACGAUGCAUAGCCGACCUGAGAGGGUGAUCGGCCACACGGGAACUGAGACACGGUCCAGACUCCUACGGGAGGCAGCAGUCGGGAAUCUUCCGCAAUGGGCGAAAGCCUGAUAGAGCAACACCGCGUGAGUGAUGAAGGUCUUCGGAUCGUAAAGCUCUGUUAUUAGGAAAGAACAUAAGUGUAAGUAACUGUGCACAUCUUGACGGUACCUAAUCAGAAAGCCACGGCUAACUACGUG
rnacentral:rRNA from 1 species